UACGUAGGGGGCAAGCGUUGUCCGGAUUUAUUGGGCGUAAAGAGCGUGUAGGCGGCCAGACAGGUCCGUUGUGAAAACUCGAGGCUCAACCUCGAGAUGUCGAUGGAAACCGUCUGGCUAGAGUCCGGAAGAGGAGUGUGGAAUUCCUGGUGUAGCGGUGGAAUGCGCAGAUAUCAGGAGGAACACCGAUGGCGAAGGCAGCUCGCUGGGACGGUACUGACGCUGAGACGCGAAAGCGUGGGGAGCGAACAGG
rnacentral:rRNA from 1 species